ensembl:snoRNA SNORD116 Small nucleolar RNA SNORD116
GGAUUGAUGAUGACUUCACCAUAAACAUUCCUUGGAAAAGCUGAACAAAACGAGUGAAAACUCAUUACCGUUGCUCUCAUUGAAACUGAGGUCC